rnacentral:rRNA from 1 species
UGCGUAGGCGGAUAAGUAAGUCAGAGGUGAAAUACUACAGCUUAACUGUAGAAUUGCCUUUGAUACUGUUUAUCUUGAAUUAGGUUGAGGUCAGCGGAAUGUGACAUGUAGCGGUGAAAUGCAUAGAUAUGUCAUAGAACACCAAUUGCGAAGGCAGCUGGCUAGGCUUUAAUUGACGCUGAGGCACGAAAGCGUGGGGAGCGAACAGGAUUAGAUACCCUGGUAGUCC